rnacentral:rRNA from 1 species
UAAUACGAAAGGUGCAAGCGUUGUUCGGAUUUACUGGGCGUAAAGAGAUCGUAGGUGGUUUAUUAAGUCGGAUGUGAAAUCCCGGGGCUCAACCCCGGAACUGCAUUCGAUACUGAUAGGCUAGAGUUUGGGAGGGGUAAGCGGAAUUCCGUGUGUAGCAGUGAAAUGCGUAGAUAUACGGAGGAACACCUGAGGCGAAGGCGGCUUACUGGACCAAUACUGACACUGAGGAUCGAAAGCGUGGGUAGCAAACAGGAUUAGAUACCCUGGUAGUCCACGCCCUAAACGAUGUCAACUAGCCGUUGCGGGUAUCGACCCCUGCAGUGGCGAAGCUAACGCGAUAAGUUGACCGCCUGGGGAGUACGGUCGCAAGAUUA